GGAAGUAAAAGUCGUAACAAGGUCUCCGUUGGUGAACCAGCGGAGGGAUCAUUACUGAGUUUACGCUCUACAACCCUUUGUGAACAUACCUAUAACUGUUGCUUCGGCGGGUAGGGUCUCCGUGACCCUCCCGGCCUCCCGCCCCCGGGCGGGUCGGCGCCCGCCGGAGGAUAACCAAACUCUGAUUUAACGACGUUUCUUCUGAGUGGUACAAGCAAAUAAUCAAAACUUUUAACAACGGAUCUCUUGGUUCUGGCAUCGAUGAAGAACGCAGCGAAAUGCGAUAAGUAAUGUGAAUUGCAGAAUUCAGUGAAUCAUCGAAUCUUUGAACGCACAUUGCGCCCGCCAGCAUUCUGGCGGGCAUGCCUGUUCGAGCGUCAUUUCAACCCUCAAGCUCUGCUUGGUGUUGGGGCCCUACAGCUGAUGUAGGCCCUCAAAGGUAGUGGCGGACCCUCCCGGAGCCUCCUUUGCGUAGUAACUUUACGUCUCGCACUGGGAUCCGGAGGGACUCUUGCCGUAAAACCCCCAAUUUUCCAAAGGU
rnacentral:rRNA from 1 species